AGUGAACGCUGGCGGUAGGCCUAACACAUGCAAGUCGAACGGCAGCACAGUAAGAGCUUGCUCUUACGGGUGGCGAGUGGCGGACGGGUGAGGAAUACAUCGGAAUCUACUUUUUCGUGGGGGAUAACGUAGGGAAACUUACGCUAAUACCGCAUACGACCUACGGGUGAAAGCAGGGGAUCUUCGGACCUUGCGCGAUUGAAUGAGCCGAUGUCGGAUUAGCUAGUUGGCGGGGUAAAGGCCCACCAAGGCGACGAUCCGUAGCUGGUCUGAGAGGAUGAUCGGCCACACUGGAACUGGGACACGGUCCAGACUCCUACGGGAGGCAGCAGCGGGGAAUAUUGGACAAUGGGCGCAAGCCUGAUCCAGCCAUACCGCGUGGGUGAAGAAGGCCUUCGGGUUGUAAAGCCCUUUUGUUGGGAAAGAAAAGCAGCAGGUUAAUACCCCGCUGUUCUGACGGUACCCAAAGAAUAAGCACCGGCUAACUUCGUG
rnacentral:rRNA from 1 species